rnacentral:tRNA from 1 species
GCAUUGAUGGUUCAAUGGUAGAAUGCGUGCUCCCACGCACGUGAUCCGGGUUCGAUUCCCGGUUAAUGCA